UAGUCCACGCCGUAAACGAUGGAUACUAGCUGUCGGGACUUCGGUUUCGGCGGCCAAGCGAAAGUGAUAAGUAUCCCACCUGGGGAGUACGUUCGCAAGAAUGAAACUCAAAGGAAUUGACGGGGGCCCGCACAAGCGGUGGAGCAUGUGGUUUAAUUCGAUGAUACGCGAGGAACCUUACCAGGGCUUAAAUGUAGAUUGCAUUAGGCAGAGAUGCUUAUUUCUUCGGACUAUCUACAAGGUGCUGCAUGGUUGUCGUCAGCUCGUGCCGUGAGGUGUCAGGUUAAGUCCUAUAACGAGCGCAACCCCUACCGUUAGUUGCUAGCAGGUCAUGCUGAGGACUCUAACGGGACUGCCGGUGCAAACCGUGAGGAAGGUGGGGACGACGUCAAAUCAUCACGGGCCCUUACGUCCUGGGGCCACACACGUGCUACAAUGGCCGGUACAGAGGGGAAGCCACCACGUAAGUGGGGCGCGGGAUCUAUAAAACCGGGUCACAGUUCGGGAUCGGGGGUCUGGCAAC
rnacentral:rRNA from 1 species